GUAGGGAAUCUUCCACAAUGGGCGCAAGCCUGAUGGAGCAACACCGCGUGAGUGAAGAAGGGUUUCGGCUCGUAAAGCUCUGUUGUUAAAGAAGAACACGUAUGAGAGUAACUGUUCAUACGUUGACGGUAUUUAACCAGAAAGUCACGGCUAACUACGUGCCAGCAGCCGCGGUAAUACGUAGGUGGCAAGCGUUAUCCGGAUUUAUUGGGCGUAAAGAGAGUGCAGGCGGUUUUCUAAGUCUGAUGUGAAAGCCUUCGGCUUAACCGGAGAAGUGCAUCGGAAACUGGAUAACUUGAGUGCAGAAGAGGGUAGUGGAACUCCAUGUGUAGCGGUGGAAUGCGUAGAUAUAUGGAAGAACACCCGUGGCGAAGGCGGCUACCUGGUCUGCAACUGACGCUGAGACUCGAAAGCAUGGGUAGCGAACAGGAUUAGAUACCCUGGUAGUCC
rnacentral:rRNA from 1 species